CGCCCUCCGCGUCCCGAUUCAGUCGGCGGCGGCCGCCAUCUUGCCCUCGCCUCCUCCAGCCCGGGGGGAACCGUUGGGGAAAGGGGAACGAUUCAAAAGAUCUUCUGGCAGCAUUGAUGGUACUCUUUCAACAACUUCAGAUGUCUCCUGUAUGUUGUCCAUGUCUCAGUUCCAUACAGCAAGGUGGGGAUCACAACUGCUUGAUAAAUCAUGAGUUUGGUUUCAGAUCUGAUGUCAUGAUCUUUGAACACCCGUCUGUUCAGGUGUCCAAAGGCUGCGCUUGCACAUUUGAGGUGAUGUUGGAUUUUUUUCAUCAAUGUCAGCCUUCUAUGAGAGAUGGCUUCUGAGGUACAGGAAAUACUCAACAUUCUCAGGAGUCUCACCAUGAUCACUGUUCAUUAGGAGCUUGUUUGGUACAGGACUUUAGUCUUCUGAAUGUUAAACUGUUAGGGUGACAGUAUUUGGAUCUUGGGGAGAGUUGGAUUUGCAGCUGAAUAAAAAGGCUAUAGCUUGUGGCCUAGCAAAGCUGCUAACUACAAGGCAGAAUGGUAUGUUAAAAGUAACAUUGCAAGACGCUUAGGCAAGCAUUUUCCUAACAAUAUAGUAGUGUUGUAAGAUAUAUAGCUCAUUGUAUAUGAGGAACAGGAUGCAGCCCACCGGCUAUUGUUAGGAAAUAAAGCAGAAGCAAGACCUUGGAGAUGGUGAAGAAAUCAGCAAGAAACUGCAAGUGUCCGAAAGAAGGUGGGAUCAGGAUUUUAGGCAUGCACUCAUAGCAAAACGACAUGCAAAUAAGUGAAAUGCACAGGCAAUUCCAUGCUAGUGAAAUAAACAGUAAACAGAGGCGGAGCUUAAGAUAGGAGGGAAUAAGGGUGGAACAAAGGAAGGACAAAGGUGGAGUAAAUGUUAAUGAGCAUGAACCAAGGUGUAUAAAUAUGGAAAGAACUAAUGUUCGUGGCUGCUCCCAGGUUUGUUGGAGCUGGCCCAAAGCUGUCUCCAUUUUGAAUAAAGCUGUUGACAGGCAA